GGGUCGUUAGCUCAGUCGAUUCUUUAUGAAGGAUAGGGCAGUUGGCUUAUAACCAAUCAGUCGAAUGGUUAGAACCUUCACGAACCACCA
rnacentral:tRNA from 1 species